rnacentral:rRNA from 1 species
UACCAGCACCCCGAGUGGUCGGGACGUUUAUUGGGCCUAAAGCAUCCGUAGCCGGUUCUACAAGUCUUCCGUUAAAUCCAGCUGCUUAACAGAUGGGCUGCGGAAGAUACUAUGGAGCUAGGAGGCGGGAGAGGCAAGCGGUACUCGAUGGGUAGGGGUAAAAUCCGUUGAUCCAUUGAAGACCACCAGUGGCGGAGGCGGCUUGCCAGAACGCGCUCGACGGUGAGGGAUGAAAGCUGGGGAGCAAACCGG